AUUAAAAUUAAUUCUUUUUUAAAAAUUAGUUGAAUGAUUAUAACAUAGAUAAUAUUUAAAAGUUUAAAUAAAAUAGAUAUUAAAUUAAUGUUUAUAUUAAUUUUAUAUAUGUAAGUAUAUGUAGUAAUUUAUUUUCAGGUUAGAUUAAAUUUAGUGCCAGCAGUCGCGGUUAUACUAAUUAGUUAAAUUAAUUAGUGAUUAAUUUAAUGAUAAUUAUUAUUAUAUUAUUAUUUUUGUUUAAUUUUGAUAAUUUAUGGUGAAAUAUAAUUAUUAAAUUUAACAUAUUUUAAGUUUUCAUUAGUAGAUUAUAAAAAGUUAGACUAGGAUUAGAUACCCUAUUAUACUAAUUAAUUUGAUUUAAUUAAUAGAUUAAGUGUAUGGAUCAUUAAAUUCAAAGAAUUUGGCGGUGUUCUUUUAAUUAGAGGAACUUGCUUGGUAAUUGAUAAUCCACGAUAAGAUCUACUUAACAUUAAUUUUUAUGUAUUGUUGUUUUUAGAAUAAAUUAUUAAAUUUUAUUUUUAAUAUGAUAUUAUCAUAAUAAUUCAAAUCAAAGUGUAGGUUAGUUAAGAUUUUUAAGUGAGUUACUUUUAAUAUGAUAAUUUAGUAGGAUUAGUAAAUUUAAUUUUUCUAUGAAAUAGGAUUUAAUUGUAAAUUAAAAUAAUAAUUUUUCUUGAAGUUUAAUAAGAAUAUGUACAAAUUGCCCGUCAUUCUUGUCUAUAAGAUGAGAGAAGUCGUAACAUAGUAAAUGUACUGGAAAGUGCCUUUAGAUUAAU
rnacentral:ncRNA from 1 species